rnacentral:lncRNA from 1 species
CCGUCCAGGGGGCUGCCACCUCUGGGGGGGGGACACACACAUGGCAUUGUCACCCUGGGGAUGUCCCCACCCCGGGGAUGUCCCCCACCACCACCCCACCCAGGUACAGGCACUGCCGGAUGGUCCCCUCUGUCCACGGCGCUGCCACCUCUGGGGGGGGGGACACACAUGGCAUUGUCACCUGGGGAUGUCCCCCACCCCGGGGAUGUCCCCUCCCACCACCCCACCCAGGUACAGGUACAGGCACUGCCGGAUGGUCUCCUCCGUCCAGGGGGCUGCCACCUCUGGGGGGGGGACACACAUGUGGCAUUGUCACCCUCAUGUGUCCCACCCUGGGGAUGUCCCAGCUCAGAGAUGUCCAACACCAGGGAUGUCCCACCUCAGAGAUGCCCCACCCCAGGGAUGUCCUACCCCAGGGAUGUCCCCCAGUGUCCCCACCUCGGGGAUGUCCCAGCCCAGGGAUGUCCAACACCAGGGAUGUGCCACCUCAGAGAUGUCCCACAGUGUCCCCACCCCAGGGAUGUCCCACUUUGGGAAUGCCCCACCCCAGGGAUAUCCAACACCAGGGAUGUCCCACCUCAGGGAUGUCCCACCUUGGAGAUGUCCCAGGGCUGUCCCAUCCCAGGAUGUCAACACCAGGGAUGUGCCACCUCAGAGAUGUCCCACAGUGUCCCCACCACAGGGAUGUCCCAUCCCAGGAUGUCCCACAGUGUCCCCAACACAGGUAUGUGCCACCACGGGGAUGUCCCAUCCCAGGGAUGUCCCACAGUGUCCCCACCACAGGGAUGUCCCACCUCAGAGAUGGCCCACAGUGUCCCCACCCAGGGAUGUCCCACCACGGCAAUGUCCCACCUUGGGGAUGUGCCACCCCAGGGAUGUCCAACACCAGGGAUGUCCCCCAGUGUCCCCACCUCGGGGAUGUGCCACCCUGGGGAUGUCCCACCUCAGGGAUGUCCCAGCCCAGGGAUGUCCCACCUCAGGGAUGUCCCCCAGUGUCCCCACCUUGGGGAUGUCCCACCUUGGGGAUGUCCCACCUUGGGGAUGUCCCCCAGUGUCCCCACAACAAGCACCAGGACUGUCCCCACCCCAGGGAUGUC